UUCCUCAGAGGAGAAACAACCUGUUACAGCUGCAGUACUAGGAUCUCUUCUAGCAUUUCUGUUCUUGUUAACAUUGUACUUGUUGGCCGUUUACUCCUAAAACGGAUACGUACAUCUCGCAGAAAAUCCAUGGUACGAAAGGCGGAAGAGGCAUUUUAUGAAAAUACUGGGAUUACUGGAAAUGCGAUAGAAAUGGCAGGUAAUACUGAGACAAAUGGAAACGACGGCACGGUCACUGAACAAGUUUCAGCUUCUCUAAGUGUGUACAGUUCAAAGAAAAGUGAAUAUGAGGAUAUUCGCAAUGUGCAAGAUUCCGAGCAUGAGUAUGGACAGAUUCCACCAGCUGCUACAAAUUAAUCCAGUACGUUUGUACGACUCUGCAGAGGAUCAGAAAGUUGUGAUGCUAGAGGUUCUGUGUACAAGAAACACUCGUCUACAAUGAACUCUACGGUGUACUCUAUUGAUCAUCGCAAACAGCUUGUUUUUUUUUUCAGUUAAAACUGAUCCACUAUGUACCAUACUGAGGUGCAUGCAGCUGUUUUUCAAUUCAGUCAUCCUAUAUGUAUUCUCUACUCAGUAGCAAGCAGCAGGUUUCAGUUAAAUUCAUCAAAUAUGUAUGUGUGUGAAAUUAGCCAGAGCAGCUAGAGUAGCCAAAGUUCAGCCAGGGUUCAGCCAGAGUUUAGCUUGAGUAGCCAGAGUUCAGCCAGAGUUCAACCAGAUUUUAGCCAGAGUAGCCGGAGUUUAGCCAGAGAAGUCAUAACUCUGUUUACUCUGGCUGGCCAGAGUAGCCAGAGUUCAGCCAGAGAAGUCAUAAUAACUCUGGUUACUCUGGCUGGCCAGAGUAGCCAGAGUUCAGCAAGAAAAGCCAUAUAGGAUGUUAUAAUGUUCUGGCUAUUCUGGUCAGCCAUAGUAUCCAGAAUAGCCCGAGUCACCUGGAUUUUAUUUGCUCUGGUUAGUCUGGCUGGCCAGAGUAGCCAGAGUUUCUAGGAUUUUAAGAGUAGCCAGAGUAACCUGGUUCACAAAACAUUUUCCGUCUUAGCUGAUUUGAUUAUGAAACUUAAUAUGUCAUUUUUAUCUAAAUAGCAUGUUUAAACUGAUUUUCAAGUUAAUUACUAUUUUCAAGUGGCCAUUUAGAGUAGCCAGAGUAGCCAAAACUCUGGAGUAGCCAGAGUAGCCAGAACACUUGUUACUCUGGCUGGCCAGAGUAGCCAGAGUUCAGCCAGAGUUCAGCCACAGUAGCCAGAAUUCAGCCAUAGUAGCAAGAGUUUCUAGGCUUUUUACAUGUUCUGACUACUCUGGUCAGCCAGAGUAUCCGGAGUAGCCCGAGUUACCAGGAUUUCAUUCUCUCUAUUUACUUCGGCUGGCCAGAGUAGCCAGAGUUUCUAGGAUUUUAACAUGUUUUUGCUACUCUGGUCAGCCAGAGUAGCCAGAGUAACCAGGUCCCAUGUUCAUUAACGUUUUUCAGUCUUAGCUGAAUUUGAUUAUGAAAUCUAAUAACUGAGCCGUGCCAUGAGAAAAACAAACAGUGGCUUUGCGACCAGCAUGGAUCCAGACCAGCCUGCGCAUCCGCGCAGUCUGGUCAGGAUCCAUGCUGUUCGCUUUUAAAGCGUAUUGGACUUGGAGAAACUGUUAGCGAGCAGCACGGAUCCUGACCAGCCUGCGCAGGCUGGUCUGGAUCCAUUCUGGUCUCAAUGUUGGUUUUCUCAUGGCGCAACUCAUAUGUCAUUUCUAACAAAUAGCAUGUUUAAAACUGAAUUUCAAGUUAAUAACUAUUUUCAAGCGGCUAUUUAGAGUAGCCAGAGUAGCCAGUACUCUGGUCACUAUGGCUGGCCAGAGUAGCCAGAGUUCAGUCAGAGUAGCCAGAGUUCAGCCAGAGUAGCCAGAAUUCUGGUUACUCUGGCUGGCCAAAAUAGCCAGAGUUCAGCCAGAGUAGCCGAGUAACCAGGAUGUCAAUUGCUCUGGUUACUAUGGCUAGCCAGAACAGCCAGAAUUGCCGAGAUGUCCAUUGGUUCUAGCUACCCUGGCUAGCCAGAAUAGCCAGAGAAAAUACUGUAAUACCUUUUGCAAAAUGACCCUUUUGGUACUCUCAGGUUUGAUGUUUUAGUGUUUUAUAUUUAUCAAGUGUAUCAUCGUACCAUCGUGCAUCGCGGUUUAGUAUUAAAUAAAAAGUCACGAUUGUCCAAACGGAACGCCGUACAUAACAGUGUGAAAAUGGUGAAAAGUCAAUUUACAUUACUGAACAAAAUUGAUAGGUAAGACUAAGUCAGAAUAAAUGAUAUUUAAUAGUUACCAUUAUAUAUUGAAUGACCCUCAUACACUAUACUUGAUUUUUUUAGCUCGUGUCACUGUGUGACAAGGUGAGGUUUUGUGAUCAACUUUUGUCUUGUCUAUCAGAUUGAGUCAGGCUCUUUGACUGAACUCAGUACUUAUUCCAUUUUAUAUUGUAAAACCUUAAAAAUCUUCUCAAGUACCACAAGACCCAGAGCUUAGAUAUUUUGCAAGAAGCAUUGGCAAGUACAUCUCUUUUCAAAUCAUGGACUCCGGGGUCAAAUUGGAUCUGCCUUGGAGCUUUAAGUUUCACAUAGAGUAAUAUAUUAAAUCCUAUAAAAAUAUUCUUAUUUUCCUUUAGGCCCAGACUAUAUAUAUUUUGUAUCUAGCAUGGCCUAGUGAAUGCCUCUCUUAAAAUUGAGCAAAUCAUGUCCCCUGAUGUUAAAAUUGCCUCCGCUUGUGCUAAUGAGCUGGUAAAGUCUUACAGGCAAAUCUUUUAAAAUCUUCUCAAAAGAAUUGCAAUGACAAGAGUUAAGAUAUUUUACAUGUUCAAAUCAAUACCACAGAGUCAAAAUGGUUCCUACUUAAGUUUUAUAUAGAACAAGUGAACACAUACACUUAAAGCGGCUUAAUAACGGUAUUUCAUCUAAACCCUUGGAAAAAGGUAGGUACAUGUGACAUGCCAAUCAAAACGCAAAAUGCCAUUCAAAAAUUGAUUGUUGUCACUUUAUGCCACCAGACAAUCAGCAUUCCAUGUUGUAUUAAAUCGGUAUUACUUGUGUACGUGUAUGAAACGAUAUUGACUGUGUUUGGAUUAAACAGUUAUAGGACUGCUAACUGAUAAGUAAGACAAUUCUUUGAAGUCCGUUUGAAGAAUCACUUGAUAUAUGAAAAACUAAAAACUAAAAAAGACCUGAGGGUACAAAAAAGAGUCAUUUCGCAACAUGUUAAAGCCCUAGAAACUCUGGCUACUCUGGCAGAAGUCAACUUGAUACAUAAAACACAAAACAUUUCAACUUUGAGAGAACCAAAAUAGUCAACAAUCUUCUCACACCUUUCCAAUAUAACUUCCGUUCCAAACAUAGCUGUGAGGCUCAACUAUUAUCCUUUACACAAGAAACUUUUGACAAUCUCCAAUCUGGAAACAAACAGGUCUCAUUGUAAUGGAUUUCUCAAAAGCUUUUGACAAGAUCGAUCAUCAACACCUUCUCUAUCAAAUCGUGAAACUUUUUGUCUACAGAAUCUCUCUAUCCUGAAUUCAAUCUUUCUCUUGUAACCGUUCUCAAUCUGUAGUACCCGAAGGCUCACAAUCUUUACCAGUUCUAUCAGGGGGUUCCUCAAGGGUCAGUGUUGGGGCCUUGUCUCUUCCUUUGAUUUAUCAAUGACCUUCCUGACUCUGUUAAAGAUAGAAUACGCUUAACUGCUGAUGACACUAUCAUAUAACAUAGACUCGUUAAUAGACUCUUACAAAGUUCAAGAUGAUUUGACAAAAUUAGAAGAAUGGGAACGUAAUUGGUCGUUGGAAUUCAAUCCUGAUAAAUGCGAAGUAAUAGGAAUCUCAACAAAAAAAAAGAGAAAAAAUAUCAUCUUUCAUAUAAAUUAUUUAAUCAAGAACUAAAAAGUACAGGAAAUGCUAAAUAUCUUGGGAUUACUAUUAGUGAUGUCUUAACUUUGAAACACAUAUUGAAAUUACAUCUUCAAAAGCUAGUAACACUCUCAGAUUUAUAAAAAAUAUGUACAAUGUUAUAACAGAACAGAACAGAACAGAACAUACAUUUUAUUCGAAUUAAGCAUAAACAGCUCAUCUUCUUUUAUAAUACAAUAUAUUUGCAUGCAUACGAAAAUGAUAAGUAUCUAAGCAUUGAGUGAGAGUGAAUAAAACCAUUGGGCUACAAUUUGGAGGAUAUUUUCUCCAACACAGUACAUAAUAUUAUAUAUUUACACUACAGUACAUAUAUAUUUUUACACUCUAAUGAUAUUUUCUAAAUCUUUAAGGAUACGCUCUCUGGUGUACAAUUUCGGUGUAUAAAAGGUUAAUUGUAUGCGCUUGUAAAGUUGUGAACGUGCAGUGAUUCGCACGAAAAAAAAAAAAAAACCUACUGUCAAUAAUUUUCCGAUGAAACGAUUAUAAGAACAACUCGAUAAACCCGUGCAUCCAUGAGUGACCGAUAUUUAGCAUAGCAUUGUGCGGUUUACGAACAACUUUUCAAAACAAGUGAGAAACUGUGUACAUAUAACAUUACAAUAUCGUGUCCAAAUAAAAUAAAACAUACAUUAUACAAGCACAUUUUCAAUAGUCAUUCGCGAUAGUACAAUGGAGAGCGUAACCACAGAUAAUAUGCACAACAGACUUUCACGCUGUUUCAGUACUCAACGUCUUUAAGGUAGAUUAAUCAUAUACAAAAAAGAAACAGGCAACCUUCAGACUAUUUCCGGGACUUAGUGGACAGCUACAGGACAGCCAGCAGACGUCGAGCCUUGAAAACGCAUAGAGUUCUGGUGUGCAAUAAAACUAAGAUACUAGUACAUUAUACAUUAUAGUGCAAACAAAUCAUGUUGACUUAAUAUAACGCAUUUAAUGCAUUGUUUCUUAUUUUAAACGCCUUGUUACAAUAUAAGGCUAGUUUUAUCACAACUGAUUUCCUCGUGGAAUUUAGGAGUUCGAUGAACUUGUACAUACUAGGGUGUCUUACGUAGUAAUUAGAAAUAUACAAAUUUCUUAUUUCAUUGUAUAUGGGACAAAUUAUUACGAAAUGAUAUUCGUCUUCGAUAUCGUUACAGUUACAAAGUGUACAUUUUCUUUCACUUCUGUCAAUAUUAUUAUGUCUUCCUGUUUCUAUAAACAAUUUAUGUGAUGAUAGUCUAAGUUUCGCUAACGUGUUUCGUAAUUUAUAACUUGUUAUCAUAUUUAAAUAGACAGCUCUGUUGAAAUCAAAUUUCAGGUCUUUAUACAUAUAUAAUGAUGAACACAAAUCCACACCAUUACGCCAGUAUGUAAUAUAAAUAUCUCUCAUACGACAUCGUAAUAAUGGUAUAAAAAUAUCUACGUUGACGGACUCAGGAAAAAUCCAAACAUCAUUGAAACCUGCACUCUGUAAAAUAGUUCUAACCUUCGAAGACCAAUUAGCAAUUCCAGGGUUUAAUUCAAUUUCUGCCCUUUGCUGUUUUACCAUACAGUUAAGAAUACAAUUUUCGCUUUUAACUUUAUACAGGUUUAUGAAAUAUUUUACCAUGCGUAUAUGGCGUGAGAUAUAUAAAGGAUAUCUACCUAGUUCUGAAUACAAAGAUAGUGAGUUUGUCGACAUCUUUACAUUAAGCAUCCAUUUACAAAAUUUCCGAUGAACAAUUUCUAUAUUUUCCGCUUGCAGGUAGCCCCAUAUCUCACAACCGUAAUUCAAAAUAGAUGCAACAUAUGAGUCAAACAAGUUAAACAUAAUAUCUAUUGGAAUGUCUUUGCCCUUUGUUUCACUCAAUAAUGAACUCAUUGCUCUUAAAGCCUUGCCUUUAAGAGUAUUUGUAGCGUGAACAAAAGAGCCACCACUUGACAUAACAAUUCCUAAAUAAUUAAAAGUAUUAACAACCUCUAUAUUGGAACCUGCAUAUGUCCAUUUGCAAUUUCUGUUCACUAUAGCACCUUUUCGGAAUACAACUAUUUUUGUUUUGUCUACAUUUACUGUCAGGUUCCAUUUUGAACAAUAUUUUUCUAAGCUAUCCAAGGAUUUUUGAAGACCUUCUAUCGAGUCAGAACAUAUAACAGCAUCGUCUGCGAAUAACAAAAGAUAAAUAGAUAUCUGAUCUAGCGUCAAACCAACAUCUAAAUUUUCUUGCAAUGCGUUCUCUAAAUCAUUUAUAAAGAGACUAAAUAUAAUUGGUGACGUAAUCUCACUAUCAAAAAAUUCAGACAAUGUAUGGAUAUGCUUGACACGUAAUUUUACCUCUUUGUACAUGGAAUAAAUAACCGAAAAUAAUUUACCGUCAACGCCACAUUUUAUAAGUUUGUACCAUAGACAAUUGCGAUCAAUUAGGUCAUAUGCCUUCUUAAAGUCAAUAAAGCAACAAAACAAUUUUUUCCGGUCUGUAAUAUACUUUUCUACUAAUGAAUUUAAUACAAAAAUAGCAUCUACUGUACUGUAAUCUUUCUUAAAGCCAAAUUGAGCAUCAGUAAUCUUUUCAUUUACUAUGGCCCACUUUUUCAACCUUUCAUUUAUAAUAACGGUAAAAAACUUUGCAAAACAGCUAGUAAUUGUAAUACCCCGAUAGUUAUUAGGGUCAGAUGACUCGCCCUUUUUAUACAAUGGAAUAAUAAUGCCAGAUGACCAACAUCUUGGAAAGGUUCUACUGUCUAAUAUAUAAUUAAAUAAUAAGUGCAAUGGGUUAACUAUAUCAUAAAUAUUUGCUUUGAAAUAUUCAUACAGUAUGUUGUCAGAUGAACACAUUUUAUUAUUACUUAAACAUUUGGAUGCCCGUACAAUUUCAUCAAUUGUAAUAGGUAUGUCAAGCUCAUCAAAAGUUGGGUUAUCUGUACCGUUAUUCAAAAAAUCUUCAACAAAGUCAUAACAUUCUGUAUUUACCGCAUCGUCUUCGUGCCGUUCUUGCGUAGAGGAAAGGUCUUUAAAGUGAUUAUAAAACUCAUUACAUGAAAUUUGCUCCCCUUGAC